UACGGAGGGGGCUAGCGUUGUUCGGAAUUACUGGGCGUAAAGCGCACGUAGGCGGCUUUCUAAGUCAGGGGUGAAAUCCUGGAGCUCAACUCCAGAACUGCCUUUGAUACUGGAGAGCUUGAGUCCGGAAGAGGUGAGUGGAACUCCGAGUGUAGAGGUGAAAUUCGUAGAUAUUCGGAAGAACACCAGUGGCGAAGGCGGCUCACUGGUCCGGUACUGACGCUGAUGUGCGAAAGCGUGGGGAGCAAACAGGG
rnacentral:rRNA from 1 species